AGGAUAGAGGAGCGGAAAGCAUGAGUAAUCUGUGGAGCGGGAGCAUCGAAGCAGAUGAAAGGGUCAACGCCGAAGUGCUGUGGCAGCCGUGCCAUGGUGCUGGGCCGUCAGUGAAAGCUGCCGGACUGUCGCUGCAUGGCAGCGGAGAGCUAUCU
rnacentral:ncRNA from 1 species